rnacentral:rRNA from 1 species
ACACCGGCAGCCCAAGUGGUGGCCAUUUUUAUUGGGCCUAAAGCGUUCGUAGCCGGCCUGAUAAGUCUCUGGUGAAAUCCCGCAGCUUAACUGUGGGAAUUGCUGGAGAUACUAUCAGGCUUGAGGUCGGGAGAGGUUAGAGGUACUCCCAGGGUAGGGGUGAAAUCCUAUAAUCCUGGGAGGACCACCUGUGGCGAAGGCGUCUAACGGGAACGAACCUGACGGUGAGUAACGAAAGCCAGGGGCGCGAACCGGAUUAGAUACCCUGGUAGUCCUGGCCGUAAACGAUGUGGACUUGGUGUUGGGAUGGCCUCGAGCUGCCCCAGUGCCGAAGGGAAGCUGUUAAGUCCACCGCCUGGGAAGUACGGUCGCAAGACUGAAACUUAAAUGAAUUGACGGGG